rnacentral:rRNA from 1 species
ACACAGGUGCUGCAUGGCUGUCGUCAGCUCGUGUCGUGAGAUGUUGGGNUAAGUCCCGCAACGAGCGCAACCCCUACUCUAUGUUGCUAAGGCCGUAAAGGCCAGCACUCUUAGAGAACUGCCUCGGACAACGGGGAGGAAGGUGGGGAUGACGUCAAGUCACCAUGGCCUUUAUGUCCAGGGCUACACACGUGCUACAAUGGCCGGUACAACGAGCAGCAAAUCCGUAAGGAGGAGCAAAUCUCUAAAAGCCGGCCCCAGUUCAGAUUGUGGGCUGCAAUUCGCCCACAUGAAGGUGGAAUCGCUAGUAAUCGGGGAUCAGCUGGCCCCGGUGAAUACGUUCCCGGGCCUUGUACACACCGCCCGUCACACCACGAAAGUUGAGUGCAACCAAAACCGGUGAUUCAACCCGCAAGGGAGAUAGCCGUCAAAGUUGUGAUCAAUGAUUGGGGUGAAGUCGUAACAAGGG